UCUCCGUAGGUGAACCUGCGGAGGGAUCAUUACACAAAUAUGAAGGCGGGCUGGAACCUCUCGGGGUUACAGCCUUGCUGAAUUAUUCACCCUUGUCUUUUGCGUACUUCUUGUUUCCUUGGUGGGUUCGCCCACCACUAGGACAAACAUAAACCUUUUGUAAUUGCAAUCAGCGUCAGUAACAAAUUAAUAAUUACAACUUUCAACAACGGAUCUCUUGGUUCUG
rnacentral:misc_RNA from 2 species